CCAUGCAAGGCCUGGGGGACUCGGCGUCUAGGUCAGGUGGUGUCCUUGAGUCACACCUCCACGUGCAGGCGCUGGGCUGGGUGUGGCAGGGGUGCCAGACCUACAGGCUCGAUAAUCACAGGAUCUGUCUUCCAAGUUAAUGCAGGCAUCGUGUUUCUCAAGUGUUUUGCACAGCAUAAGGAGUGACUAGCUUUCUACCCUGCAGCAUCUGUUUCCUCACCACCCACUGCCUGACCACGGAGACAGUGUCACUUAUGUUCUGUCACAGCAGCACCCCACUUCCAGCCUCCUGAUUGUGUGGCUGAUGGAGCCCUGGCUCGCUGCUGCUGCUGCCCAGCAUCACGAGAGAGUAUCAUUCUUCAUAUCGCUAGCCCAGGAAAAGAUCAAAAUUCGAAAUGUGAAGUCCGGUUUCUACUGAAUGCAUAUUGCUUUCGCACCAUCGUUAAAUUGAAAAAUCGUAAGUCGAUUUGCAGCCGCCCGAGACAAACCUUGGAUGGAAGUUCCAUUGCUUAUUAAAUCUGCUACCUACCAAUCUGGGAAACGGGUGUGCAGGAGAUUAGAAGCAGCUGCACAGGAGUGGGGCUGCCCCCAGGUGAAGGCGGGCCCCCUGGCAUUCUGGAGCAUUGAGAAGCUGGAGUCACAGCCCAGAGGCCCGCCCCCUGCACCAAGGCUAGAGAGCGGCCAGGGGCGACCAAGUACGGGGAUUGCUCAGAAUGGUGGAAGGAGCUCGGCACAGCCUUGCCUGAGAUGUAUUGCGGGAGAAUCUUUGCUUCCCAUGUCUGUAGCACCUAUAAAUACUGCACUGAAGCAGGAAGGGACCCGGAACCUGGUGUAAACAAGAUUUCUGCCUUCUCCCGCACCUGUGGCGACAGCAGCAGUACCACCUAUGCUUGAUGCUGCAGGCCCAGGCGUCGAGCCGGGGACAGAGGCCAUGGAUGAAAAUGCGACGUUCUGACAUAGAUGAAGAAAGACCGAUGUGCAGAGGGACAUUUUAACCAUACUGAGAAUCAUUAGAAGAUGCAAGUUGGAAAAGGAAGAUACCAGUUUUGGUUUCAAACCCUCCCUGUGACAGCGAACGCCCGUCUCUCAUGGAUGGAUGUGGGUGUCCACCUGUUCAGACAGCAGCCCGCUGUUCCCUCAGUCAGGUUAUCCCACCGUCCUCCGCACCAGAGCCCCAGGAUCCCCGUCACUUCACAGGAGCCUGCAGAUUGCUAGCACUCGCUACAGCCUCCUUUCAGAUGAAUCCCGCUGAGAUGGAGAUCAACUGCGUUAUUUAGAAGUUAUAAAAGACUCAGUAUCGAGCCUCCUGUGAGGUUGAGAGCCCUGUGGCCUCCGGAACCGUGUCCAGGCAUAGCCCCGCUUUUGUACUUCUCUACUGUUAUGUGGAGCAUCCAGGGCUGCUUCUGUACGCUUUUUACUUAAAAGACUUAUUUUUAUAUUUAAAAAUGUUCUAUAAUCUUAAACUGAAUUUUACUGAAUGUUCGUAUCCAAUCUGUUCUGUGUAAUUCUCCAACUGAAGUUAUCGGGUAUGGGACCUUUUUUAUAUUAAAAUGGAAAUUUCUCAUUU